rnacentral:rRNA from 1 species
ACGCACGCUGGCGGCCUGCCUAACACAUGCAAGUCGAACGAGACCUUCGGGUCUAGUGGCGCACGGGUGCGUAACGCGUGGGAACCUGCCCUUAGGUUCGGAAUAACUCCCCGAAAGGGGUGCUAAUACCGGAUAAUGUCUUCGGACCAAAGAUUUAUCGCCUUUGGAUGGGCCCGCGUUGGAUUAGCUAGUUGGUAGGGUAAAAGCCUACCAAGGCGACGAUCCAUAGCUGGUCUGAGAGGAUGAUCAGCCACACUGGGACUGAGACACGGCCCAGACUCCUACGGGAGGCAGCAGUGGGGAAUAUUGGACAAUGGGCGAAAGCCUGAUCCAGCAAUGCCGCGUGAGUGAUGAAGGCCUUAGGGUUGUAAAGCUCUUUUACCCGGGAUGAUAAUGACAGUACCGGGAGAAUAAGCUCCGGCUAACUCCGUG